GCCAGGUGUGGUGGCACACGCCUGUAAUCCCAGCUACUUGGGAGGCUGAGGCAUGAGAAUUGCUUGAACCCAGGAGGCAGAGGUUGCAGUGAGCUGAGAUUGUGUCACUGUACUCCAGCCUGGGUGACAAAGCAAGACUCUGCCUCAA
rnacentral:SRP_RNA from 1 species